UGCUAUCCGAGAUCACAUCUGUAGAUCUGAGGAUAGAUUUUCUCAAGAAGGAGGAGAUGAUGGACACCAUCCAGUGAUAAACAUCCAUCUCCCUAGCCAUGAAAAAGAAAAAGCAUUGGAUUUGAGGACAAAUCCUUUUCAAGAGGGAGGGGAUGAUGGAAGAGGCCCCAACACCCAAAAGAGCGUCUAGGACCAACCUUGCAUGAAAGGCAACCAAGAGAGCGUCUAGGACCAACCUUGCAUAGAGGGCACCCACAAGAAGCGUCUAAGAGACACAAGAAGCGUCUAGGUCACACAAGGAGCGUCUAAGAGAGUUGACAUCCAAGAAGGUUGACGUCCAAGAAGGCCCAACAAAGUGUAGCUUAGUCUUAAUUGUGGUGUAAAUA
rnacentral:lncRNA from 1 species